rnacentral:rRNA from 1 species
AACGCUAGCUACAGGCUUAACGCAUGCAAGUCGAGGGGCAGCAUGAACUUAGCUUGCUAAGUUUGAUGGCGACCGGCGCACGGGUGAGUAACGCGUAUCCAACCUUCCGUACACUCAGGAAUAGCCUUUCGAAAGAAAGAUUAAUACCUGAUGGUAUGAUGAGAUUGCAUGAAAUCAUCAUUAAAGAUUCAUCGGUGUACGAUGGGGAUGCGUUCCAUUAGAUAGUAGGCGGGGUAACGGCCCACCUAGUCGACGAUGGAUAGGGGUUCUGAGAGGAAGGUCCCCCACAUUGGAACUGAGACACGGUCCAAACUCCUACGGGAGGCAGCAGUGAGGAAUAUUGGUCAAUGGGCGCGAGCCUGAACCAGCCAAGUAGCGUGAAGGAUGAAGGUCCUACGGAUUGUAAACUUCUUUUAUAAGGGAAUAAAGUCACCCACGUGUGGGUGUUUGUAUGUACCUUAUGAAUAAGCAUCGGCUAACUCCGUGCCAGCAGCCGCGGUAAUACGGAGGAUGCGAGCGUUAUCCGGAUUUAUUGGGUUUAAAGGGAGCGUAGACGGGUCGUUAAGUCAGCUGUGAAAGUUUGGGGCUCAACCUUAAAAUUGCAGUUGAUACUGGCGUCCUUGAGUACGGUUGAGGCAGGCGGAAUUCGUGGUGUAGCGGUGAAAUGCUUAGAUAUCACGAAGAACUCCGAUUG